AACUAAUAAAAUUGACAAGUAAAGGAAAGCUAAAUCAUCCUGAAUUCUCCAUGGAGUCCUCUUGAGAGUCGUCAUCAUCUAUGUUGUCAUUCUCAGCAUGCGUGGUUGAGUUAUUCGUUGGAAUAUUUGCUGAUGCAUUUGAUGAAGCAAAUAAAUCAUUUGGGUCUAUAAGAGGAUCAAGUGCAAGUGUUUCGGCCAUAUUCUUUGCAUAUUGAUG
rnacentral:lncRNA from 1 species